AUAAAUCUAAUAAGGCUUAAAUUGAGGAUAUAUAAGCUUAAUUAUUUAAAAGUAAUCACUUUAUCUCUUAUAUUAAUGUAAGCUUGGCUCUGACUUUUUAGUAUAGUAAAAACUAAGGAAUACACAUGGUUUUUAUGGAAAGAGGCGAGUUAAAGAAGUCCUAUAAUUUUAUAUAAUAUUAAAAUAUAAUCCUUUUUUAAGAUAUUAUUUAUUAUAAAAUGUCAUAAUAGUUUCGCUAACACCAGUGUUUGAGGUUAAAAUAAAAGCGAGAGCUUGUAUUAGCUUAGUUAUAAGAUCUGGUUAACUUGGUGCCAGCAUCCGCGGUUAUACCAAGAGAUCAAAUUAUAUUUACAAGGUAAAAAGGCAGUUAAAUACUAUAUUAAAAGCUUAUUGAUUUUUUAUAUAAAGGUAAAAUUUAAAUAUAAAUUAAUAACACUAUCUAAGCUGUUAAUAUUGAAUCUGCGACACCCUAGGGGGAAACUGGGAUUAGAUACCCCAUUAUUCUUGGAUUUAAAUAAAUGAAAAUUUACCAGAGUACUAUGAAUCAUAUUAAAAAUUUAAAACUCAAAGAGCUUGGCGGUGUUUUAGACCUCUCAGGGGAACCUGUCUCUUAAUCGACAAUCCACGUUAUACCUAACCCUUUUUAGCUUAACAGUUUGUAUACCAUCGUCGUCAGGUAACUUUUAAAAAUUUAGAAGUUGGCAACCAAAUACUUAUGAAUUUAGACGUCAGAUCAAGGUGCAGCUUAUAUAGGGGUGAGGAUGGGUUACAAUUAAUAAUUAUAAAUACGGAUAUAAUAAUGAAAUACGUAUUAUAAUGAAGGAGGACUUGAAAGUAAGAAUAACAUAUAAAAAUAAUCUGAAUUAGGCUCUGAAACAUGCACACAUCGCCCGUCGCUCUCAUUGAAAAACGAGAUAAGUCGUAACAUAGUAGGGGUAAUGGAAAUUGUUCCUGGAUG
rnacentral:rRNA from 1 species